UUUGAUGGCGACCGGCGCACGGGUGAGUAACACGUAUCCAACCUGCCGAUGACUCGGGGAUAGCCUUUCGAAAGAAAGAUUAAUACCCGAUGGCAUAGUUCUUCCGCAUGGUAGAACUAUUAAAGAAUUUCGGUCAUCGAUGGGGAUGCGUUCCAUUAGGUUGUUGGCGGGGUAACGGACCACCAAGCCUUCGAUGGAUAGGGGUUCUGAGAGGAAGGUCCCCCACAUUGAACUGAGACACGGUCCAAACUCCUACGGGAGGCAGCAUG
rnacentral:rRNA from 1 species